rnacentral:rRNA from 1 species
AGCUCUUUCAAGUGGUCGGGAUAAUUAUUGGGCUUAAAGUGUCCGUAGCCGGUUUAGUAAGUUCCUGGUAAAAUCGGGUAGCUUAACUAUCUGCAUGCUAGGAAUACUGCUAAACUAGAGGGCGGGAGAGGUCUGAGGUGCUACAGGGGUAGGGGUGAAAUCUUAUAAUCCUUGUAGGACCACCAGUGGCGAAGGCGUCAGACUGGAACGUGCCUGACGGUGAGGGACGAAAGCCAGGGGAGCGAACCGGAUUAGAUACCCGGGGUAGUCCUGGCCGUAAACGAUGCAUACUAGGUGAUGGCAUGGCCCAUGAGCCGUGUCAGUGCCGUAGGGAAACCGUUAAGUGUGCCGCCUGGGGAAGUACGGUCGCAAGGCUAA